CCUACGGGAGGCAGCAGUGGGGAAUAUUGGACAAUGGGCGCAAGCCUGAUCCAGCAAUGCCGCGUGGGUGAAGAAGGCCUUCGGGUUGUAAAGCCCUUUUGUACGGGAAGAAAUCCUGUCGGUUAAUACCCGGCGGGGAUGACGGUACCGUAAGAAUAAGCACCGGCUAACUUCGUGCCAGCAGCCGCGGUAAUACGAAGGGUGCAAGCGUUAAUCGGAAUUACUGGGCGUAAAGCGUGCGUAGGCGGUUGGCUAAGUCAGAUGUGAAAGCCCUGGGCUCAACCUGGGAAUGGCAUUUGAAACUGGUCGGCUAGAGUGCGGUAGAGGAUGGCGGAAUUCCCGGUGUAGCGGUGAAAUGCGUAGAGAUCGGGAGGAACAUCCGUGGCGAAGGCGGCCAUCUGGACCAGCACUGACGCUGAGGCACGAAAGCGUGGGGAGCAAACAGGAUUAGAUACCCUGGUAGUCCACGCCCUAAACGAUGCGAACUGGAUGUUGGGCUCAACUCGGAGCUCAGUGUCGAAGCUAACGCGUUAAGUUCGCCGCCUGGGGAGUACGGUCGCAAGACUGAAACUCAAAGGAAUUGAUGGGGGCCCGCACAAGCGGUGGAGUAUGUGGUUUAAUUCGAUGCAACGCGAAGAACCUUACCUGGUCUUGACAUGUCUGGAACCCCUGCAGAGAUGCGGGGGUGCCUUCGGGAACCAGAACACAGGUGCUGCAUGGCUGUCGUCAGCUCGUGUCGUGAGAUGUUGGGGUUAAGUCCCGCAACGAGCGCAACCCUUGUCCCUAUUUGCCAGCACGUAAUGGUGGGACUCUAAAGAGACUGCCGGUGACAAACCGGAGGAAGGUGGGGAUGACCGCCAGUCAUCAUGGCCCUUUACGAACAGGGGCUACAUCGUACUACAUGGGUCGAUCAGAAGGUUG
rnacentral:rRNA from 1 species